AUUGAACGCUGGCGGCAGGCCUAACACAUGCAAGUCGAGCGGAUGACGGGAGCUUGCUCCUUGAUUCAGCGGCGGACGGGUGAGUAAUGCCUAGGAAUCUGCCUGGUAGUGGGGGACAACGUUUCGAAAGGAACGCUAAUACCGCAUACGUCCUACGGGAGAAAGCAGGGGAACUUCGGGCCUUGCGCUACCAGAUGAGCCUAGGUCGGAUUAGCUAGUUGGUGGGGUAAUGGCUCACCAAGGCGACGAUCCGUAACUGGUCUGAGAGGAUGAUCAGUCACACUGGAACUGAGACACGGUCCAGACUCCUACGGGAGGCAGCAGUGGGGAAUAUUGGACAAUGGGCGAAAGCCUGAUCCAGCCAUGCCGCGUGUGUGAAGAAGGUCUUCGGAUUGUAAAGCACUUUAAGUUGGGAGGAAGGGCAGUAAGUUAAUACCUUGCUGUUUUGACGUUACCGACAGAAUAAGCACCGGCUAACUCCGUGCCAGCCGCCGCUGUAA
rnacentral:rRNA from 1 species